rnacentral:rRNA from 1 species
UACAGAGGGUGCGAGCGUUAAUCGGAAUUACUGGGCGUAAAGCGCACGUAGUCGGCUUUGCAAGUCGGUUGUGAAAUCCCCGGGCUCAACCUGGGAACUGCAUCCGAGACUGCAUUGCUAGAGUAUGGGAGAGGAAAGCGGAAUUUCUGGUGUAGCAGUGAAAUGCGUAGAUAUCAGAAGGAACAUCAGUGGCGAAGGCGGCUUUCUGGACCAAUACUGACGAUCAGGUGCGAAAGCCAGGGGAGCAAACGGG